rnacentral:rRNA from 1 species
CGCGGCCUAUCAGCUUGUUGGUGAGGUAACGGCUCACCAAGGCGACGACGGGUAGCCGGCCUGAGAGGGCGACCGGCCACACUGGGACUGAGACACGGCCCAGACUCCUACGGGAGGCAGCAGUGGGGAAUAUUGCACAAUGGGCGAAAGCCUGAUGCAGCGACGCCGCGUGUGGGAUGACGGCCUUCGGGUUGUAAACCUCUUUCAGCAGGGAAGAAGCGAAAGUGACGGUACCUGCAGAAGAAGCGCCGGCUAACUACGUGCCAGCAGCCGCGGUAAUACGUAGGGCGCAAGCGUUGUCCGGAAUUAUUGGGCGUAAAGAGCUCGUAGGCGGCUUGUCACGUCGGGUGUGAAAGCCCAGGGCUUAACCCCGGGUCUGCAUCCGAUACGGGCAGGCUAGAGUGUGGUAGGGGAGAUCGGAAUUCCUGGUGUAGCGGUGAAAUGCGCAGAUAUCAGGAGGAACACCGGUGGCGAAGGCGGAUCUCUGGGCCAUUACUGACGCUGAGGAGCGAAAGCGUGGGGAGCGAACAGGAUUAGAUACCCUGGUAGUCCACGCCGUAAACGUUGGGAACUAGGUGUUGGCGACAUUCCACGUCGUCGGUGCCGCAGCUAACGCAUUAAGUUCCCCGCCUGGGGAGUACGG